rnacentral:rRNA from 1 species
CCCGACUGCUAUUGGAGUAGGACUAAGUCACGCUAGUUAAAGGUGCGGAAUGGAGCACCUAGCGCACGGCUCAGUAACACGUAGUCAAUCUGCCCUAAGGACGGGUACAACCACGGGAAACUGUGGAUAAUACCCGAUAGGAAAUUUGGCCUGGAACGGUAUCUUUCCGAAAACCGGCUAGCCGUUAGACACGGGCCUUAGGAUGGGGCUGCGGCCGAUUAUGCUAGAUGGCGGUGUAGAGGACCACCAUGGCGACGAUCGGUAUGGGCGAUGGAAGUCGGAGCCCAGAGUCGGCCACUGAGACAAGGGGCCGAGCCCUACGAGGCUUAGCGGUCGCGAAAACUCGCCAAUGCACGAAAGUGUGAGUGGGCUACUCCAAGAGUCAUUCUUACGGAUGACUGUCGCUCAGUAUUACAAGCUGAGAAAGGAAGGAGAGGGCAAGGCUGGUGCCAGCCGCCGCGGUAAAACCAGCUCUUCGAGUGGUCGGGACGUAUAUUGGGUCUAAAGCGCUCGUAGCCGGACAAGUAGGUUCCUGGUUAAACCCGACAGCAUAACUGUUGGCUCGCUGGGAAUACCGCUAGUCUUGGAAGCGGGAGAGGAUAGAGGUAGUCAUGGGGCAGGGGUGAAAUCCAGUGAUCCCAUGGCGACCACCGAUGGCGAAGGCAUCUGUCUGGAACGUAUUCGACGGUGAGGAGCGAAAGCUAGGGGAGCGACCCGGAUUAGAUACCCGGUUAGUCCUAGCCGUAAACGAUGCGGACUAGGUGUUGCGGUGGCCAAGAGCCACUGCGGUGCCACAGCGAAGGCGUUAAGUCCGCCACCUGGGGAGUACGGAUGCAAGUCUGAAACUUAAAGGAAUUGACGGGGGCGCACCACCAGGAGUGAAGCCUGCGGUUU